UAAGGAAUAUUGGUCAAUGGACGAAAGUCUGAACCAGCCAUGCCGCGUGAAGGAUGAAGGUCCUCUGGAUUGUAAACUUCUUUUAUCUGGGACGAAAAAAGGGAAUUCUUUCUCACUUGACGGUACCAGAAGAAUAAGCACCGGCUAACUCCGUGCCAGCAGCCGCGGUAAUACGGAGGGUGCAAGCGUUAUCCGGAUUCACUGGGUUUAAAGGGUGCGUAGGUGGGCAGUUAAGUCAGUGGUGAAAUCUCCGGGCUUAACCCGGAAACUGCCAUUGAUACUAUCUGUCUUGAAUACUCUGGAGGUAAGCGGAAUAUGUCAUGUAGCGGUGAAAUGCUUAGAUAUGACAUAGAACCACCGAUUGCGAAGGCAGCCUUAUACGGAGUCAUUGACACUGAGGCA
rnacentral:rRNA from 1 species